GACGAACGCUGGCGGCGUGCUUAACACAUGCAAGUCGAACGGAAAGGCCCUGCUUUUGUGGGGUGCUAGAGUGGCGAACGGGUGAGUAACACGUGAGUAACCUGCCCUUGACUUUGGGAUAACUUCAGGAAACUGGGGCUAAUACCGGAUAGGAGCUCCUGCUGCAUGGUGGGGGUUGGAAAGUUUCGGCGGUUGGGGAUGGACUCGCGGCUUAUCAGCUUGUUGGUGGGGUAGUGGCUUACCAAGGCUUUGACGGGUAGCCGGCCUGAGAGGGUGACCGGCCACAUUGGGACUGAGAUGCGGCCCAGACUCCUACGGGAGGCAGCAGUGGGGAAUAUUGCACAAUGGGCGGAACCCUGAUGCAGCAACGCCGCGUGCGGGAUGACGGCCUUCGGGUUGUAAACCGCUUUCGCCUGGGACGAAGCGUGAGUGACGGUAAUGGGUAAAGAAGCACCGGCAAACUACGUG
rnacentral:rRNA from 1 species